AAUGUAAUAAAUCUAAUAGAGAUAAGAUAGAACUGAGGAUAUA
rnacentral:guide_RNA from 1 species